UGAGGAAUAUUGGUCAAUGGGCGCAAGCCUGAACCAGCCAUCCCGCGUGCAGGAAGACGGCCCUAUGGGUUGUAAACUGCUUUUCCAGGGGGUGAAACUCCCGUACGAGUACGGGACUGACGGUACCUUGGGAAUAAGCAUCGGCUAACUCCGUGCCAGCAGCCGCGGUAGUACGGAGGAUGCGAGCGUUAUCCGGAUUUAUUGGGUUUAAAGGGUGCGUAGGCGGAUUAAUAAGUGAGUGGUGAAAUCCUGCAGCUUAACUGUGGAACUGCCAUUGCUACUGUUAGUCUGGAGUAUGGUCAAGGUAGGCGGAAUGUGUAGUGUAGCGGUGAAAUGCGUAGAUAUUACACAGAACACCGAUUGCGAAGGCAGCUUACUGGGCCAUUACUGACGCUGAUGCACGAAAGCGUGGGGAUCGAACA
rnacentral:rRNA from 1 species